CGUAGGGUCCAAGCGUUAUCCGGAAUUACUGGGCGUAAAGAGUUGCGUAGGUGGCAUAGUAAGCGAGUAGUGAAAGCGUGUGGCUCAACCAUACAUCCAUUACUUGAACUGCUAAGCUAGAAGAUGAGAGAGGUAGAUGGAAUUCCUGAUGUAGGGGUAAUAUCCGUAGAUAUCAGGAGGAACACCGAUGGCGUAGGCAGUCUACUGGCUCAUUCUUGACACUAAGGCACGCAAGCGUGGGGAGCAAACAGGAUUAGAUACCCUGGUAGUCCACGCCGUAAACUAUGGAUGCUAGCUGUAUUCGGUAUCGACCCCGGAUGUAGCGAAGCUAACGCGUUAAGCAUCCCGCCUGUGGAGUACGGUCGCAAGACUA
rnacentral:rRNA from 1 species